rnacentral:rRNA from 1 species
GAGUUUGAUCCUGGCUCAGGACGAACGCUGGCGGCGUGCCUAAUACAUGCAAGUAGAACGCUGAAGGAGGAGCUUGCUUCUCUGGAUGAGUUGCGAACGGGUGAGUAACGCGUAGGUAACCUGCCUGGUAGCGGGGGAUAACUAUUGGAAACGAUAGCUAAUACCGCAUAAGAGUAGAUGUUGCAUGACAUUUGCUUAAAAGGUGCACUUGCAUCACUACCAGAUGGACCUGCGUUGUAUUAGCUAGUUGGUGGGGUAACGGCUCACCAAGGCGACGAUACAUAGCCGACCUGAGAGGGUGAUCGGCCACACUGGGACUGAGACACGGCCCAGACUCCUACGGGAGGCAGCAGUAGGGAAUCUUCGGCAAUGGACGGAAGUCUGACCGAGCAACGCCGCGUGAGUGAAGAAGGUUUUCGGAUCGUAAAGCUCUGUUGUAAGAGAAGAACGAGUGUGAGAGUGGAAAGUUCACACUGUGACGGUAUCUUACCAGAAAGGGACGGCUAACUACGUGCCAGCAGCCGCGGUAAUACGUAGGUCCCGAGCGUUGUCCGGAUUUAUUGGGCGUAAAGCGAGCGCAGGCGGUUAGAUAAGUCUGAAGUUAAAGGCUGUGGCUUAACCAUAGUAGGCUUUGGAAACUGUUUAACUUGAGUGCAAGAGGGGAGAGUGGAAUUCCAUGUGUAGCGGUGAAAUGCGUAGAUAUAUGGAGGAACACCGGUGGCGAAAGCGGCUCUCUGGCUUGUAACUGACGCUGAGGCUCGAAAGCGUGGGGAGCAAACAGGAUUAGAUACCCUGGUAGUCCACGCUGUAAACGAUGAGUGCUAGGUGUUAGACCCUUUCCGGGGUUUAGUGCCGUAGCUAACGCAUUAAGCACUCCGCCUGGGGAGUACGACCGCAAGGUUGAAACUCAAAGGAAUUGACGGGGGCCCGCACAAGCGGUGGAGCAUGUGGAUUAAUUCGAAGCAACGCGAAGAACCUUACCAGGUCUUGACAUCCCUCUGACCGCUCUAGAGAUAGAGCUUUCCUUCGGGACAGAGGUGACAGGUGGUGCAUGGUUGUCGUCAGCUCGUGUCGUGAGAUGUUGGGUUAAGUCCCGCAACGAGCGCAACCCCUAUUGUUAGUUGCCAUCAUUUAGUUGGGCACUCUAGCGAGACUGCCGGUAAUAAACCGGAGGAAGGUGGGGAUGACGUCAAAUCAUCAUGCCCCUUAUGACCUGGGCUACACACGUGCUACAAUGGCUGGUACAACGAGUCGCAAGCCGGUGACGGCAAGCUAAUCUCUUAAAGCCAGUCUCAGUUCGGAUUGUAGGCUGCAACUCGCCUACAUGAAGUCGGAAUCGCUAGUAAUCGCGGAUCAGCACGCCGCGGUGAAUACGUUCCCGGGCCUUGUACACACCGCCCGUCACACCACGAGAGUUUGUAACACCCGAAGUCGGUGAGGUAACCGUAAGGAGCCAGCCGCCUAAGGUGGGAUAGAUGAUUGGGGUGAAGUCGUAACAAGGUAGCCGUAUCGGAAGGUGCGGCUGGAUCACC